GCCGUUUCCAUGUGAGCGCCCGGGACAAACACAAACACGGCCGCCCCCGCCGCCCACGCACCGGGCGGGCACCGGCGCGGGGGAUGGAGGCUGCCCAGGACGGAGGGUUCUGCGGGGUGUCCCGGGGGCAGCGCCCCGUCCCCUCAGCCCACGGCGCUGGGCGAGGCUGUCACCCUGCUGCCUGAAGGGCCGGCUGCACCUUGAAGCCUCCGCCUGCCGUGUCAGAAGCACUGCACGUCCCCCAGCAGAGCAACUGUUAUCCUUAGAGGGCUUGAACAUGAGGGAGGCAGUUGGCCAUCCUGCCAUAGGAUGAAAAUCCUGCAGAAGCAAAGCACUACGGAUCUCUGAUUUUCCUGUUAAGCACAACAAAAGAGUGUCAUCAAUCCCUGAAAUCACCAUCUCAACGCUGCUCUGGAGUGCCAGGAGCAGUAACACAGACUGCCCACAUUCAAAACCCUUCAGUCCCAUUGCUGAUGGAAGAGCCAAGGGGGAUUUGUGGAGCAUACACUGUGAUGCAAUAAUCAUAGUGUAGCAAGUCUGUGAUGUCAUUUGACAACCCCAAAGAAGAUAGAAAGAACCAAAAAAAGGUACUAAUCGUGUGAAUGAUGAAGAAGCCAUCUGAAAGAGCACAUGGAUAUGGAUACUGAUGUUAUAUUAAAUAUUAUGGAGCUACAGCUGAGAUAAUUUAUAUUUCUUUUGAGUUAUUGGGUAAUAACCACAAAGAGAUUGAGCACCAUCAUACACAGUGGAAGUAUUAUGGAAAGAGUGUGUCCUUUUGCUUUAGAGAGUAUUUCAGAGCCUGCAGACAGAGCGUGGGAUGUGAUACACACUGGAGGAGAAAACAGUUUAAAACUGUGAUGUUAAUAGAGCAGAAGGAAUUUCUGUGAACUCAGCCAUCAGGAAAUUAAAAGCGGGUUAUAUUAAAUGUGGCUAAAAGUGGACACGUCAGACAUUGGCAUAACUCAGACUGAACCUGGUAUGUCUCUACAGUGCGCUGACACAGUCUUGAAUCUAUGAGUGGUUCUCUCUUUGGGGAUUUUAUUUUAAAAGUUGGAUAUUGAUUACAUGUUUAUUCAUCUAAUGUUCUUUUUUCUUCAAUAAUUUUAUGGUUUGUUUCUUUUCCCCAACAUUUCAUUCUAUAUAUUUUGGACAAGUAUCUUCUGUUUUCUGCCAUACCUGUUAGGGGAACAUUUUUAGGAUUUGAAACCCCAGCUCUAGUCUGCAGGUAAACUAGCCUUAAUGAAAGGAUGUUUACCUGCACAGAAUACUGGCCUCGGCGAGUGGCUCAGACAUCAUGUUCUUGGGAUCAGCUGUGGUCAGAGCCUUCUUAGGAAAGAUGCUAAUGUAAGAUGCUUCCCAAAAUCAAGGAGUUGCAUCACUCAUACUCAUCUGAGAAUAGUGUAGGGGAAGACAAUACAAUUACCCAGAGAAAAUAUUAAAUUAUUCUUUAUGAGCGUAUCAUAUUACAUGAUUAAAAAAACAUUUGGGCCAUCUUUACCAGCUUGUGAACCAAAACUGCUUUAGCUUCUUGAUGUAAAUGUAUAUUCCUUGUACUGAGGUGGGUAAUCCUGCUUAUCAUGCUGGUCAGUGUGACCCAGCUACAGCCAUUCCUUGCAGCAACGAUUUUGUUCUUUAUUUAAUGAGCUAAGGAGAGACUGAAAUUGUCAGAGUAGCAUUUCAGAAAAGACUCACAGCCUCCCAAAUACCAGUGCCACUAACACUCCCUCCAACAUCACUACUUUCUGUAAUGAAAAGAUGCUGUGCUAUGCUUAGAAACAUCCUCUCCAUUUUCUUGGAAGAGAAGUAGAGCUUUUGGACCACCCUGCCCAGUAGGACUAGCAGAAGGGGAAAUUCAGUUAGCCUUCUGUGUAAACAGCCUUCCAUGGAUCUGAAAACAGAUUGUUUAGAAGCAAAAUCAGAGCAUGGCACUUUACUUUGGCAUGACACUUUUCCAGUCACUGUAGUAUAGUCAGGCCACACUUUAGUACAGCAGGGUAGGACUGACAAGAAGACAGCAGAAAGGACGUUCCGUGUAUUGUCCCAUGCAAUAACAAAGAUUAGAGAGAGCUCUCACUGUAUAAGCUAUUGACAUGGCAGGUUCCCUAUUUCCCUUAUGCAGCACAGUGCACAUACAACAACACAUGGCUCCACCAUUUAAACCUUCCUGUGCCACUCCCACGUACAAUAGCCUAGCUUCCUUUGAGCAACAACUGCUUGCACUGUAAAUAGUGGCAGUGAGGAAUGCCUUCUUUGAAACACUGACGUAGCCAAGACUUGUGCUUCUAAACUUGAAAUAAAUCACUCCCUGCAGUGACCAAAUGUCUUUAGAAAACAAUUCUGAAGUGACUUAUGCCUGCACUGAAUAUUCAAUACCAGAGUUUCUAUUUCAAG